GCCCCGGCCCGCUCUCUGCGCGCCGCUCUCCUUCCUCUGAGCCGACUCCAGGCCCACACGGCUGAUUCUGAUCCCUCUUCCUUGGCACUGCUUCCUUCUUCAGGCUGGAGGGUAGACUGAGAACAGCCACCUUGUGACCAUGAGGAGGCAUGGGCAUCAAGAGAUGAGGCCACCAGACUCUUCUCAAGCUCUUUGUUUACUGGCACUAGGGAAAUUUCUUUGCCUAAAAGACUGCUUCCUAAUGUAAUUAAUUGCUUUGUUGCAGAAUAUUCAAAAGCUCAGAGGAUGUCACCUGAAUUGCUCAAGCUUGCAUUCAAGGCCCAUGAAGCCUUGGCCUCAACAUAUUUUCCUAUUAAAAAAUUCUAC